GAAAGCUUUCCACCUCCAACCAGAGAGACUCUCUUACCUGCGGGGGACGGAUCCCAGGCUCCCGCAGCCACAGCUGCCCACCUUCAAAAAGAAGGCGCUGGCAGUCUCCUGUCACUGCCGAGUACACGGGGCCUUUCUCAAGAGGUGCCUUCCCUCUACUGCAAAAGCAGGGAGCUCAGACACACCACACGAGCUCCAGACAGAGUGACCCAGUUGCCAAGCUCCUCCAUUCUUGGUGCUGAGUGACCAACAAGGGCAUCGAGACCUGUUCCAUUAUUGAGAGCAAGAAGCCCACCCUACGAGUCCCUCAACUCCCUCCGGCUGACCAAGGAGAUGCCAGGAAGUCAGAGAAACAAAUGCCAAUAAAAAUCCUAUGGAGCCUCACUGCCUAAGACAACUGAACUUCCCACCUUCAGCAGACUUGGCCAGCAAUCAGUAGGGAUGGAGAAGAAGCAGGACUACCCCUUGCUGGCAGCCUGCAGUUUCACUGGGUAAGGGUAGCAUGAACCUACAGUGCUCAGCAACCACCUUCAUCAUCACAGCUGCCAAACACAGUAGUCCUCCCCUAUCUUCAUCUCCCUUGGCCAUUACUUUCACUCCCUACGUGGUCUUCCCACUUUCAGCCACAUAUUCAACAGGCUUGUAAUAAACCAGAUCAGAGAAUGGGGCUUUUUUCCCCAGCUGAUUCAUGAAGCGGACACAAAACUGCUGGUGCUAGCAAAGGAAGGCAGCUGGUAGGGACAGAAAUAAGCAGGGAAAUGUUACAAAUUUUUUUUUUUAGUGGAUGGUGUGGGGCAAAGCUGUUAUCAAGUGUGUUCAGAUAACAUCUCAAGUUUAUGCAAUUUUGGGGUUGUAUAAAAAGAAAAAAGAAGAAAUUGGUAAUAUCAAGUUAUAAUUUUUAGAUCUUCAAGAAGUGCCCAAGUGCUAUAUGGAAUAGAUAAUUUAACCUCUCUGCAUUUGAGUAUGUUGUUUCAACAGUUCAUCAGCAACAGGAAACACCUAUUUAUUUUAUAGUGAAAUAUGAUACAAGAGAUAUAAGACCCAUCUGAUUAAUUCGCAGGAGAGCUCAUUCAUAACACAUUUUAGAGAGGCUGAAACACCUACUUGAGUUCAUAUAUUACCAUUUGAUCAUAUCUUGUACAUUUGUGUGGCAGCUGCUAAUCACAGUCCUUUCCAAGAUAAAUUAUCCAUUUCUGCUAUUCAUGCAAUAUUUCUGUGUUCUAAUUUUUCUUAUACUUUUGAUUUCAAGAACCAGGUGUUACCCUACAAAAUAAAAACCCCAGCCUGGAUAAGAUGAAAAUCUCUCCACUUACCAGAAAAAUAUAGAGUCUUUGUCAGAUCCAGCCUUUGCAUGUGGGAUUCAGAAGUAUUUGAGCAGUGAGAGCAGUUAAAUAGUUUUUUUGUUUGUUUGGUUGGUUUUUUUUUGGUUUCUUUUGCAAUGUCCAGCCAAGCCAGUCAGAAGUCACUAUAUAUUUGAGAUGUGCUCAUUUGAGGUAUUUCAUCAAAUAUGGUACACAAAGGGCAUAUUCAAAAUAGGUUCACAUGACCUUAUUCUGCAUUACCUCUUCAACCUUUGCACUCCUCUAAGAUGAAUAUUCAAAAAUAGAGAAACACAAAGAAGAGAUACAAAGCUUUGAAAAGCUUCAUUACUAGUCAACAAAUUAACAGAGUUUUAGACUAAAAGGUGUAGUGGCUUCUCACUCUUUCUCAGAUAAAUUAGCAGUUUCUGCUCUUCACACAAAUCUGUCAUCUAAUUUGCUCCUGAAAGAGGAUAAAAGUUUAUUGAGAAUUAAAAAAUUAGAAAGGAGAGAUUCCAGGCAGUGAUCAAAUAAGAGAAAUAGUACUCAGGACUGAUUGACCAACUAGGGGAGGUGAGGGCAUGCAACAUUUUUUACCCCAUGUUUUAACAAUUCAUUAUCUAUAGCCUCAGUUCAAUAAACUCAAGGUGUUUGAGUCAGAGUGUCUACCAUUAGAGAUAUCAGUGUUAGUUUCAGGGUGCCAGAAGACUCACUGAGAAAGUUUGCUGGAGAGAGCUGUUGCUAAACUAGCCAUCACAUACAGUUUAUUAAUGAGUAAAGGUAUUUAUCUUUUCUUUUUGAAAUUUUAAUCCUAUUCUAACAGUAUUGUUUUCUGUAAUUAACAUGAAAGCCAAUUUCAUUUGGCAGGGAAAAUGAUUUCUUGCCUGCCUAAUCACAGUUUACUUUCCCAUAGAAAUUUGGAAUCCCAUAAAUCCACAAUAUUUCCAAAUUAAAAAAAAAAAUUACUAUUUUACUGUCAGACAUAAGCAGUAAGUAUAUAUACUUAAAACUUCACUGAUAAUGGAGAUCUAGAUAAAAGAAAUCUUCAGUUAUUCCUGGUAAAAUUAGAAUUAAAUUAAAUUGAAACAUUG